rnacentral:tRNA from 1 species
GCCCCGGUAGUUCAAUGGAUAGAACGGACCCCUCCUAAGGGUCAGAUAGUGGUUCGAUUCCACUCCGGGGUA